rnacentral:rRNA from 1 species
GACGAACGCUGGCGGCGUGCUUAACACAUGCAAGUCGAACGGAAAGGCCCUGCUUUUGUGGUGUGCUCGAGUGGCGAACGGGUGAGUAACACGUGAGUAACCUGCCCUUGACUGUGGGAUAACUUCAGGAAACUGGGGCUAAUACCGGAUAGGAGCUCCUGCUGCAUGGUGGGGGUUGGAAAGUUUCGGCGGUUGGGGAUGGACUCGCGGCUUAUCAGCUUGUUGGUGUGGUAGUGGCUUACCAAGGCUUUGACGGGUAGCCAGCCUGAGAGGGUGACCGGCCACAUUGGGACUGAGAUACGGCCCAGACUCCUACGGGAGGCAGCAGUGGGGAAUAUUGCACAAUGGGCGGAAGCCUGAUGCAGCAACGCCGCGUGCGGGAUGACUGCCUUCGGGUUGUAAACCGCUUUCGCCUGUGACGAAGCGUGAGUGACGGUAAUGGGUAAAGAAGCACCGGCUAACUACGUG